rnacentral:sRNA from 1 species
CAGCAACUUUCAAAUGGGUCUCUGCUGAUACAAAACAUACUUCAUUCCAGACACCACAAGCCAGAUGAGGGACUUUACCAAUGUGAGGCAUCUUUAGGAGAUUCUGGCUCAAUUAUUAGUCGGACAGCAAAAGUUGCAGUAGCAGGUCCUACUUAGUCUAGUCUCAUCUUGGAAGACUGAUCAGAAUAACUCAUUUUCAUCAAUAACAGGACAAUUGGGCAGAAUCACCACUCCUUCAUGCACUCUCCUAGUGAGGGUUUAAGAAAGUUGAAAUCUGAAAGAUGUGAUUUUGUCAGGUGGUGCUAUAAAGAAUUACAUCUCA